rnacentral:tRNA from 1 species
GCGGACGUGGCGGAAUUGGUAGACGCGCAGCGUUGAGGUCGCUGUGGGAGAAAUCCUGUGGAGGUUCGAAUCCUCUCGUCCGCA